AGACGGAGGAGGCAAGCGUUGUCCGGAAUCAUUGGGCGUAAAGAGCGCGUAGGCGGUUUUCCAAGUCAUAUGUGAAAACUUUAGGCUUAACCUAAAGAUUGCAUGUGAAACUGGAUAACUAGAGUACGGCAGAGGAAAGUGGAAUUCCUGGUGUAGCGGUGAAAUGCGCAGAUAUCAGGAAGAACACCAGUGGCGAAGGCGGCUUUCUAGGCCGUUACUGACGCUGAGGCGCGAAAGCUAGGGGAGCGAACAGGAUUAGAUACCCUGGUAGUCCUAGCUGUAAACGAUGGACACUAGGUGUGGGAAGUUAUCGACGCUUUCUGUGCCGAAGCUAACGCAUUAAGUGUCCCGCCUGGGGAGUACGGCCGCAAGGCUAAA
rnacentral:rRNA from 1 species